rnacentral:rRNA from 1 species
GCCAGACUCCUACGGGAGGCAGCAGUGGGGGAUAUUGCACAAUGGGGGGAACCCUGAUGCAGCGACGCCGCGUGGGUGAAGGAGCGUUUCGGCGCGUAAAGCCCUCUCGGCAGGGAAGAAGGAGGACGGUACCUGACUAAGAAGCCCCGGCUAACUACGUGCCAGCAGCCGCGGUAAUACGUAGGGGGCAAGCGUUAUCCGGAUUUACUGGGUGUAAAGGGGGCGCAGACGGCAGCGCAAGCCAGGAGUGAAAGCCCGGGGCCCAACCCCGGGACUGCUCUUGGAACUGCGCGGCUGGAGUGCAGGAGGGGCAGGCGGAAUUCCUGGUGUAGCGGUGAAAUGCGUAGAUAUCAGGAGGAACACCGGUGGCGAAGGCGGCCUGCUGGACUGCGACUGACGUUGAGGCCCGAAAGCGUGGGGAGCAAACAGGAUUAGAUACCCCCGUAAU